AGCGAACGCUGGCGGCAGGCCUAAACAUGCAAGUCGAACGGAUCCUUCGGGAUUAGUGGCGGACGGGUGAGUAACACGUGGAACGUGCCUUUUGGUUCGGAACAACUCAGGGAAACUUGAGCUAAUACCGAAUGUGCCCUUCGGGGAAAGAUUAUCGCCAUUAGAGCGGCCCGCGUCUGAUUAGCUUGUUGGUGAGGUAAAGGCUCACCAAGGCGACGAUCAGUAGCUGGUCUGAGAGGAUGAUCAGCCACACUGGGACUGAGACACGGCCCAGACUCCUACGGGAGGCAGCAGUUAGGAAUCUUGCGCAAUGGGGGAAACCCUGACGCAGCCAUGCCGCGUGAAUGAUUAAGGUCUUAGGAUUGUAAAAUUCUUUCAGCGGGGACGAUAAUGACGGUACCCGCAGAAGAAGCCCCGGCUAAACUUCGUGCCAGCAGCCGCGGUAAU
rnacentral:rRNA from 1 species